rnacentral:rRNA from 1 species
CGAACGCUGGCGGCGUGCUUAACACAUGCAAGUCGAACGGAAAGGCCCUGCUUUUGUGGGGUGCUCGAGUGGCGAACGGGUGAGUAACGCGUGAGUAACCUGCCCUUGACUUUGGGAUAACUUCAGGAAACUGGGGCUAAUACCGGAUAGGAGCUCCUGCUGCAUGGUGGGGGUUGGAAAGUUUCGGCGGUUGGGGAUGGACUCGCGGCUUAUCAGCUUGUUGGUGGGGUAGUGGCUUACCAAGGCUUUGACGGGUAGCCGGCCUGAGAGGGUGACCGGCCACAUUGGGACUGAGAUACGGCCCAGACUCCUACGGGAGGCAGCAGUGGGGAAUAUUGCACAAUGGGCGGAAGCCUGAUGCAGCAACGCCGCGUGCGGGAUGACGGCCUUCGGGUUGUAAACCGCUUUCGCCUGUGACGAAGCGUGAGUGACGGUAAUGGGUAAAGAAGCACCGGCUAACUACGUG